GACGAACGCUGGCGGCGUGCCUAAUACAUGCAAGUCGAACGCAGUGGGGACGGGUGAGUAACACGUGGGUAACCUCCCCCUCAGAGGGGAUAACACUUGGAAACAGGUGCUACACCGAUACUGCUGGAUGGCCCCGCGGUGCAUUAGCUAGUUGGUGGGGUAACGGCUCACCAAGGCCACGAUGCAUCGCCGACCUGGGCGGGUGUUCGGCCACACAGGGACUGAGACACGGCCCAGCCUCCUACGGGAGGCAGCAGUAGGGAAUCUUCGGCGAUGGACGAAAGUCUGACCGACCAACGCCGCGUGAGUGAAGAAGUUUUUCGGAUCGUAAGACUCUGUUGUUAGAGAAGCGGUAUCUAACCAGAAAGCCACGGCUAACUACGUGCCAGCAGCCGCGGUAAUUC
rnacentral:rRNA from 1 species